GACGUAGGGCGCGAGCGUUGUCCGGAUUUAUUGGGCGUAAAGAGCUCGUAGGCGGCCAACUAAGUCGGACGUGAAAUCCCUCGGCUUAACCGGGGAACUGCAUCCGAUACUGGAGGGCUUGAGUUUGGGAGAGGGAUGCGGAAUUCCAGGUGUAGCGGUGAAAUGCGUAGAUAUCUGGAGGAACACCGGUGGCGAAGGCGGCAUCCUGGACCAACACUGACGCUGAGGAGCGAAAGCGUGGGGAGCGAACAGG
rnacentral:rRNA from 1 species